rnacentral:rRNA from 1 species
AACGAACGCUGGCGGCAUGCCUAACACAUGCAAGUCGAGCGCCCGUAGCAAUACGGGAGCGGCGCACGGGUGAGUAACGCGUGGGAACCUGCCCAGAGGUCUGGGACAACCGCGGGAAACUGCGGCUGAUACCGGAUGAUUCCUGAGGGACAAAGAUUUAUCGCCUUUGGAGGGGCCCGCGUCGGAUUAGGUAGUUGGUGGGGUAACGGCUCACCAAGCCUAUGAUCCGUAACUGGUCUGAGAGGAUGACCAGUCACACUGGGACUGAGACACGGCCCAGACUCCUACGGGAGGCAGCAGUGGGGAGUAUUGGACAAUGGGGGCAACCCUGAUCCAGCAAUGCCGCGUGGGUGAUGAAGGCCUCGGUUGUAA